UAAUAUGAGGUCAUAAAGACUGUGGCUUCCAUGUUGGGCUCUCUCUCUCUCUCUCUCUCUCUCUCGCUCGCUCUGGGGCAACCAUAUCAUGAGACAGCCCUGUGGAGAAGUCUACAUCGUGGGGAACUCCCUCCAGGCAGCCUCGAGCCAACAACCAGCCAGGAAUUGAGCCCUCACUCCAUCAGCUCCUACCAACAGCCAGGGAGCGAGCCGACGUUGCAGCUGAGCCGUGCGUCCCCCUCGGGUGAGUCUUCAGAUGAAACCACAGCCCUGGCAACAGCUCGGCUCAGCCACACCUGGGUCCCUGACUCACAGAAACAGUGAGACCAUAAAUGUUUGUUGUGCUCAGUUGCCAAAUCGGGGGGUCGUUUAUUCGGCAGUAAUAACUAACUAAUACAUGUUAGGUGGAACCACAUGAAAUUGUGGCUUAGUGAGUCCAAAAAAUAGUUAAAUACCAACAGUUUUCUAUAGGUCAAACUAAAUGCUUUAUUCUACCCAUUGAAUGUAACAUCUUGCAAACUGCAAACGUGCUAUUGAAACUCACUCCAAAAAAUGUGGAAAUGGGCCCUGAGGGGCUAAGUGAUUUCCCAAAAGUUACAGUCUGCAUGUGUUGGAGUCAGGAUGCAAACCCACGACAUCAAGAUCCAUCCUCCUAAGUGCAGCAUGCCCCCUGGGUGCCAGGAAUCGUGGUCGGCACUAGGGGACAAAUGAAAGGGCUACUGCCAUUGCCAUCAAGAAGACAGAAGGGCUCCCCAACGGGCUUUAAACAAAGAGAAAGCCGGAACCACUGGAGCAGAGUUGAUCUGGGGAUCCCCGCAGCACCCCCACGGACCAAAGGAGUAGACAGCUGGGCUCGGGAACCACACCUCUCAUGGGCUCUUUAUCUGGGGAGUUUGCCAGAAAGAGAAAAUGGGAAACACGUCCUCAGACAUCACAAGAGAGGAUGAUCCAGCAGCAGCCCCCCCCACCCCCACCAACCCCGUUUUCACAUUAAAGGCAUACCUGACAGCUUGCCCCACGGAGAAACCUCAUAAAAAUUAAGAUAUUCUAGAUAUUCUUAGGAAAAUGAUAUAUUGAAGAACGACUCCCCACGCUGAUAAUGGUAGUUCAUUUGAAAAAUAGACCAGAGCACCGUGUUUAAAAGCCUAAAGUCAUAAAAGGUAUUAUGAAUGGAUGGAUUGGGAACCUCUACAAGCAGACUUCAUUGAUGUCACCGUAAACGAUGAAAUGCUGUCACUCUUUUUUAUAUAUGACAAGAGGAUAUGCCGCUGCAUCCAGAUCUCAUUGUAGAAACUGUCACACUCACUGAAAUGGCAUCACAUAAGCUAUUUAUGACGAUAUGCGGGAAAAUACGAGGUUAAGAGAUCUUUAUCUGCCGUCUCUGGAAAUGUGCUUCCACACUGAGGCGGGUACAGGAAAUAACCUUCAGGAUUAACCCAUGACACUGGGAGAACGGAAAAGGGAGAUUAACCAUCGGAGACACAGCUGCAUCCAAAUUACGUUCCGGGGCUUCCGGGUGGCUCGGUCGGUUGAGCGUCCGACUCGAUCUUAGCUCAGGUCUUGAUCCCGGGGGCAUGGGAUCGAGCCCCACCUCAGGCCCUGUGCUGACAGCACGGAGCCUGCUUGGAAGUCUCCCUCUCCCUCUCUUUCUCUCCGCCCCUCCCCCCCCCCAAAAUAAAUAAAUAAACUUUAAAAAAUG